rnacentral:lncRNA from 1 species
GAGGUUUUAUCAGAAUGAUGACUCCCAGCUGUCUGCACCGACUUACCAUUGUUGUGCUCACCACGUUGCUCACGAUGUUUAUUUGGGGAUCGAAUGAGUUCCAUGUAAGCCCCUUUGUUUUCACCUGCAAGAGUUAUAACCUUUAUGCCCAGAGCCACCUCAGAAUCAGAUGAUAACUUCUUCCGGUUGAUUUUCUCUUCAUGUUUUGCAUGGUGGCCAUGAUUGUUAGGCUUUUGGGACUCAUGAUUGAAGUCAUGAUCCUGCUUUGAGCCGCCAGUACUGAACCAGGAAUUCGGUUUUUGAUCAAUGGUCUUUUGGACCAGCACUGUCUUCUGCUCAGCCUCUAAUGGAAUCC